AUUGAACGCUGGCGGCAGGCCUAACACAUGCAAGUCGAGCGGAUGAAGGGAGCUUGCUCCUGGAUUCAGCGGCGGACGGGUGAGUAAUGCCUAGGAAUCUGCCUGGUAGUGGGGGAUAACGUCCGGAAACGGGCGCUGAUACCGCAUACGUCCUGAGGGAGAAAGUGGGGGAUCUUCGGACCUCACGCUAUCAGAUGAGCCUAGGUCGGAUUAGCUAGUUGGUGGGGUAAAGGCCUACCAAGGCGACGAUCCGUAACUGGUCUGAGAGGAUGAUCAGUCACACUGGAACUGAGACACGGUCCAGACUCCUACGGGAGGCAGCAGUGGGGAAUAUUGGACAAUGGGCGGAAGCCUGAUCCAGCCAUGCCGCGUGUGUGAAGAAGGUCUUCGGUUUGUAAAGCACUUUAAGUUGGGAGGAAGGGCAGUAAGUUAAUACCUUGCUGUUUUGACGUUACCAACAGAAUAAGCACCGGCUAACUUCGUG
rnacentral:rRNA from 1 species